GCCGCGGUAGCUCAGACGGUAGAGCAUCGGACUGAAAAUCCGAGUGUCCCCGGUUCGAUUCCGGGCUGCGGCACCA
rnacentral:tRNA from 1 species